GACGAACGCUGGCGGCGUGCUUAACACAUGCAAGUCGAGCGGUAAGGCCCUUUCGGGGGUACGACGAGCGGCGAACGGGUGAGUAACACGUGGGUGACCUGCCCUCAGCUCUGGGAUAAGCCUGGGAAACCGGGUCUAAUACUGGAUAUGACUCCAUGACGCAUGUUGUGGGGUGGAAAGCCUUGUGCGGCUGAGGAUGGGCCCGCGGCCUAUCAGCUUGUUGGGGGGGUGA
rnacentral:rRNA from 1 species